rnacentral:lncRNA from 1 species
GGGUGACAGACCCCAGGAUAGGGACACAGGCGCCCAUAGCAGACUCCAGGAGACGUUAAUGUAUGAGGGCCUGUUCAGGAGCCAGUCACCACCCUGACACCACGCCUUCUUGAAAGGUCUCCCAGAGCACCGCAUCUUCCUGCUACUCCAGAGAGUAUGUUUGUGCAGGAUCUUUCUUCAGUUCAUGCUAAAACACAAACUCACACAAUAAACAUUUUGAGAGCUUUUGGUUUUGGAAUUGGGUUAGUAAAGAAGGACGAAAUCCUCUCUAAAGGGUGAUCUUUUAGUAUUUAUUUUAUUGAACAGUCCACAGGAUUGACACACACACCCCCUCAAAGAGUAUCAACACAAAAACACACUUAGUGGGUGUGCCUUGCCCCAUAAUUAUUUAUAUGGUAUAGAAUGUGUUAGCUGUGUUAGAAAAAGUAACAAACAGGUCCCUCCCAAAGUAGCUGAGCGACUUAUAGCUUAAAAUAAGGUAAAGUACUUUCCAAGGUAAAUGUGGAGCACUAACGACAAUUCUCAGACCGCAUUACUUCUACAUAAAUUGUUCUUGACAUUUAUAAUCACCUAAAAAGUUUAAAACAAUGUAUAUAUUGCUGCCUGUAUGUUCACUGGCUUAUAGUUUUUAUUAUUUCUCACAACAGUUUUUUUGAAAGCACAUUAUUAGUAUUUCCAUUUUACAGUGGGAAGCUGAGGCAGAGAGAAAGUGGCAAGUCCAAAGGGGAGCUUCAAGAACAAAAAUUUAAACUAAAGACCACAGUGAAGAAAACCAUAGUUAAUUCCAGGUGUUGAAUGGAGUUGUGGUUGCCACUAGUUCUGAAAUGUGGUAGCUUCAAAGAGUUUGCAGUUCAGCACCAGGGACUACUGUUCAAGGGUAAAUAUGAUCAUUAUUGUUAGCUGCCCUGGAAAUACUAAAGUUCAGGAUACAUAUUUGUAAAAUAAAUAACAGAGAUGUUUGGAUUGUGGCCAUAGCCUCUAAGGCAAGCUUAAAAUAUUGCUUCUGGAUAUCGUAAGUCCUUACGUUCAAGAGUGGUCUCUUGUAGUUUAUUAUUUUCCAAAGGAAGUAAACCACAUACAUUUAUUCCUACAAAGAGAAGGAAAGGCAAUGUGCAAAGUAACCACUAUGAAAUGAUUAUGUCAAUCAGAAAUGUAGGGCACAUGGAGAGCAAAACCUAAUCUCUGAGAGGUUUCCCCUUUAUCUGCACUCAGCUACAUAAUCAGCUUUUCAUCUCAACAUAGGAUAAAUGCAACCUGCCUGCUGCUUCAUUUACCCUAUAUAGAGAGAGCUGUGGUAGAAUUGUAUGAAUCAAAUAGUCACAGAGUUUGAAUGAAAUUGCCUCAAGUUCCCCCAAAAGCGUCCCAUCAUUGUUUCCAAAGCUCUACAACAUGCAAAAUGUUCAAGUCUUUAAUUGCAUUUCAGACAUCAGGAAGGUUACUUCCUAACAGUUCAGUCCAAUAUAUAUAUUUACUCAGAAGUAAGUCUCAGUGACUGCUUACUCCUGAUAAAGUGUGUGAAUAGAACUGCAGCCCAAGUGAAGCAUUUUUAGCUCCUACAAAGAAGAUAGUUAAUUGCCUACAAGCCAAUGGUAUGUAAUUCAAGGAUAGCAGCAGUAUUGAUGAAGAGGAAUUCUAUGAAUAAUCUGGUUCAGUGCGCUCAAAAUAAAUCAGUACAACAGUUUAAUUGAAUAGGAUUGAACAAGGUUGGUUCACUAUGGAUUCUUCUUUAUGAAAAUGAAUUUACUGUUUUUCAUUAAACACCAUCUUUUGUAGAAAUAUUAACUUGUCUGUACAAUAAGUAACAAAGCUCAGUCUAUGUGCCUGAUUAAAAAAAAGUGUAAUUAACAGAAGGUUCUUGUUUUCCACAGCAAACAUCCCCAACCUCACUUAAAACUGCAUUAUGGGAGAGCAGCAGAGAGAAGAGUCAGAACAAGGAACAAGGAAAGUAGUUCUGCUUAAAGUCUGCCAUAAUAAGUUACUCUGUGUAAGAGAAAGUGAUGGAGGAAGUGCACAUCACUAAAUUUAAUAAUCAGAGGGAUUUAUAAAAGGUAGCUGCAUUUUCUUCUAAUUUUAGAAAAUAUUUUCUCCUCGUAGAACUUAAAAUGCUGUACUCAGUAACACCAGUGUAAUUUCUUCCAGAAUCAAUAGGGAUUUGGGUUUUAUAUAUAUAUAAAUUAGAGCAGCAUUUCAAUCAUUUGCACUCACUUGCUCAAUACUAAUGUAAGUUCAGCAAUGGAAUCCAGGAAAGUCACUGCCAGUCAAUCUAGGCCAGGCAUAGGCAACCUCGGCCCUCCAGAUACAAUUCCCAUCAUCCCUGACCACUGGUCCUGUUAGCUAGGGAUCAUGGGAGUUGUAGUCCCAAAACAUCUGGAGGGCCGAGGUUGCCUAUGCCUGAUUUAGACUAUGGCUGGGGAACCUGUUUCAGCCCAAGAGCCACACUGGGAACCUUCAGUGGGGUUUAGACCCUCUUAUGGAUCAGUAACUGGUUAAGAAACAAGAAGCACAGAGUAGGAAUAAAUAGACAGUUCUCCCAAUGCAGAGAUAUAAAAAGUGGAGUCCCCUAUGAACUAGUAUGGGGACCAGUGCUUUUUAACUUGUUCAUAAAUGAUCUAGAAUUAAGGUGUGCUGUGAGGUAGCAAAGUUUGAAAAAAAUGUUUGGAAUAACUUUUUUAAAAAGACCAGAGGCAUUUCUGUUAAGCAUUGUUGGCAAGGACAUCCCGAAGGCCUUUAGGGAGGUAUUCUUAUAUGCAACGGCUGCAGCUCGGACUUUGGUGGCAAAGGGGUGGAAGGAACAAGAAGCUCCCGCAAUAACAGACUGGCAUUACAAGCUACAAGAAUUUGCUGAAAUGGCACAGUUAACAAAUACCCUGAGAGGCAAUUCAAAACAAAAAUUUAUGAAAAAGUGGGAUAGAUAUAAAACAUAUGUUCAAAAAUACAGUAAAGGUUCGCUAUCUUUGCUAGCAUUUGAUUGCUGUUGGAGUGAGACUGAGUUGAGAAAUAAGAUUAAGAGCACAUAUUGAUAUAGGAAUGUAUUAGAUAAUAUGUAAAACUAUACAAUAAUAAGAGUACAUUCAUUUCUAAAAAAGGAAUAUAAAACGGGAAAGACAGGAAGUCUAGUGUGUUGGUAUGUAUAUGAUUUUGGGGGGAAAUUUUGUUUUUGUUUUAUAUCUUUGUUUUUUCUUCUUUUUGCUUCAUUUUCUUUCUAGGUAAAUAAAAUUUGUAUAUAAUUUUUGUAUACAUGUUGGAAAUAAUAUUAUAGUAAGUCC